GAUGAACGCUGGCGGCGUGCUUAACACAUGCAAGUCGAACGAAGAUGCCGGAGUGCUUGCACUUUGGCAGACUGAGUGGCGGACGGGUGAGUAACGCGUGGGUAACCUGCCUUAUACAGGGGGAUAACAGUUGGAAACGACUGCUAAUACCGCAUAAGCGCACGGUAUCGCAUGAUACAGUGUGAAAAACUCCGGUGGUAUAAGAUGGACCCGCGUCUGAUUAGCUAGUUGGUGAGGUAACGGCCCACCAAGGCGACGAUCAGUAGCCGGCCUGAGAGGGUGAACGGCCACAUUGGGACUGAGACACGGCCCAAACUCCUACGGGAGGCAGCAGUGGGGAAUCUUCCGCAAUGGGCGAAAGCCUGACGGAGCAACGCCGCGUGAACGAUGAAGGUCUUAGGAUCGUAAAGUUCUGUUGUUAGGGACGAAGGGCAAGGGGUUAUAAUACAGCCUUGUUGACGGUACCUAACGAGGAAGCCACGGCUAACUACGUGCCAGCAGCCG
rnacentral:rRNA from 1 species